GAUGAACGCUAGCGGCAGGCCUAACACAUGCAAGUCGAGGGGUAACAGGAAAGCUUGCUUUUGCUGACGACCGGCGCACGGGUGCGUAACGCGUAUGCAACCUACCUCAUACAGGAGAAUAGCCCUUGGAAACGAGGAUUAAUACUCCAUGGUAUCAUUCUUUCGCAUGUUAGAAUGAUUAAAGAAUUUCGGUAUGAGAUGGGCAUGCGUCCCAUUAGCUUGUGGUGAGGUAACGGCUCACCAAGGCAACGAUGGGUAGGGGGCCUGAGAGGGUGGUCCCCCANACUGGUACUGGAGACACGGACCAGGACUCCUACGGAGCAGCAGUGAGGAAUAUUGGCAA
rnacentral:rRNA from 1 species